rnacentral:rRNA from 1 species
CCUACGGGUGGCAGCAGUGGGGAAUAUUGGACAAUGGGCGAAAGCCUGAUCCAGCCAUGCCGCGUGUGUGAAGAAGGCCUUCGGGUUGUAAAGCACUUUCAGUGGGGAAGAAAGCCUUGGGGCUAAUACCCUCGAGGAAGGACAUCACCCACAGAAGAAGCACCGGCUAACUCCGUGCCAGCAGCCGCGGUAAUACGGAGGGUGCGAGCGUUAAUCGGAAUUACUGGGCGUAAAGCGCGCGUAGGCGGUCUGAUAAGCUGGUUGUGAAAGCCCCGGGCUCAACCUGGGAACGGCAUCCGGAACUGUCAGGCUAGAGUGCAGGAGAGGAAGGUAGAAUUCCCGGUGUAGCGGUGAAAUGCGUAGAGAUCGGGAGGAAUACCAGUGGCGAAGGCGGCCUUCUGGACUGACACUGACGCUGAGGUGCGAAAGCGUGGGUAGCAAACAGGAUUAGAUACCCUAGUAGUC